UACGGAGGGGGCUAGCGUUGUUCGGAAUUACUGGGCGUAAAGCGUACGUAGGCGGCUUUGUAAGUUAGAGGUGAAAGCCCGGGGCUCAACCCCGGAAUUGCCUUUAAGACUGCAUCGCUUGAAUCGCGGAGAGGUGAGUGGAAUUCCGAGUGUAGAGGUGAAAUUCGUAGAUAUUCGGAAGAACACCAGUGGCGAAGGCGGCUCACUGGACGCGUAUUGACGCUGAGGAGCGAAAGCGUGGGGAGCAAACAGG
rnacentral:rRNA from 1 species